rnacentral:sRNA from 1 species
CGGGCCCUGUACGAGGGGUAUGCGGCGGUCACUGAUGCGCCCCCCGAGUGCUUCCUCACCCUCAGGGACACAGUGCUGCUGCGUAAGGAAUCUCGGAAGCUCAUUGUUCAGCCCAACACUCGCCUUGAAGGUAAUGAGGCUCAGACGUGCAGCUUCUGGAAUACGAGGCCUCAGCUGCUGGCCUCAUCCGAUCCUUCUCUGAGCGUUUCCCAGAGGAUGGACCCGAGUUGGAGGAGAUCCUCACACAGCUGGCCACAGCCGAUGCCCGAUUCUGGAAGGGCCCCAGUGAGGCCCCAUCUGGCCAAGCUUGAGGAAGAUGUGUGGCCUUGCCCCCAAUUCCAUCAAACCAAGGCUGCAAGUGGCCCUCCAUUCGUGUGUGUAUUUAGGGGCU